GAUGAACGCUGGCGGCGUGCCUAAUACAUGCCAGUCGAGCGAACAGACGAGGAGCUUGCUCCUCUGACGUUAGCGGCGGACGGGUGAGUAACACGUGGAUAACCUACCUAUAAGACUGGGAUAACUUCGGGAAACCGGAGCUAAUACCGGAUAACAUGUUGAACCGCAUGGUUCAACAGUGAAAGACAGUCUUGCUGUCACUUAUAGAUGGAUCCGCGCCGCAUUAGCUAGUUGGUAAGGUAACGGCUUACCAAGGCAACGAUGCGUAGCUGACCUGAGAGGGUGAUCGGCCAGACUGGAACUGAGACACGGUCCAGACUCCUACGGGAGGCAGCAGUAGGGAAUCUUCCGCAAUGGGCGAAAGCCUGACGGAGCAACGCCGCGUGAGUGAAGAAGGUCUUCGGAUCGUAAAACUCUGUUAUUAGGGAAGAGCAAAUGUGUAAGUAACUAUGCACGUCUUGACGGUACCUAAUCAGAAAGCCACGGCUAACUACGUG
rnacentral:rRNA from 1 species